CUAAUUCGACCCAAGGUAUGGCGGAGAGUGACUUCAAGAUCUACGUCUACCGCCAGUCUUUUGUGUUGUCGUUCAUCUGCGCCUCCUCACCGAAUCUCGUUAUACCUCUUCUCCAAGUAGGCAUAGGGCACUGCCCUUUUGGCCCUGCUUAAGGUAAAUCAUCAGAUUCACAUGUUAUAGUGGUUAGAGGUUAAGAACAAGAUCGAGUAGGAUCUAACACUACAGUGCUAGUUUUUGGCAGACCUCUCUUUAAUUUUCCUUUUGGAAAAAACGACAAAAUGUAGCUUUUCAUGCAUUUAAGUAUUCUAUAUUUAGGUUCAAUGUUGGCCAAAGUACGUUGCGGAUUAGUUUUCUCAAGGCUUGUCGUUCACAAAAUUUAAGGGAGCUGCUGGUUCAUAUAUGUAACUUACACAUGUAAUUAAUUUAAGCGGCCGAACAGAGACAUGCGCUUGGUGUAAGUCGGUACAUAAAAUAUCAUCAAUUUGGAAUCACCUCAUCAUAUCAAAAUAAUAUUUUCUUCGUUCUAUAUAGUAUUUAUUUUAGCUCUUGACUUUUAUGUCUAUAUUUAAAUAAAUAAUGAUAAAUAUGGAGUUGUAGACUAUAUUAUAAAUCUCAUAAAGUAAAACGGAUUUGAUUUUGGCAGAGGGAGUAUGUGGUAAGACGAAGUUGUUUGCUUUGCAUGCAUGUAUGCAUGGACGCGAGCGGUGUGUGCGUGGAUGUGAAACUAUCUCAGCUCUAGGGCGGGACGAAAUGCUAGUGGCUCAUCAAAUCGCUUCAAUUCAUAGUCAGUUUGG
rnacentral:lncRNA from 1 species